GGCAACAGAGUGAGACCUUGUCUAAAAAAAUAAAUAAAUGUGCAGAGGAAGAGGAAAGAGCCAGCAGGUUUAAGCCUGGAUGUGGCACACAUUCUUAUAACAGCCCCAAGAAGCUGUUACUAUUAUUAUUCCCAUUUUAUAGAUGAGAAACAGGCUCACAGAGGUGAAGUGACUUGCCCAAGGUUACACAACUAGCAAAUGGCAAGAGCCAAGAUUCAAACCAGUCCAAGUUCGUAGCACAUGCUCUGCCCCCCAGGGGAACACAAAGACAGAACUGGAGGAGUAGGGAAAGGCUUCAAGGAGAAGGUGAUAUUUGAAUGGGGCCAUGAAGUGUCAGUAGGAGUUCUGUGGAGGAUCAGGGAGAGCAUUCAGGGAAUGUAAUAGACAGAAGGCAUAGGACAGCAAGGGUCAAGGAAGGGCCAGCCACCCCAGGGAGCCACAGUCUCCACCUCAAUGAAGGGUUUGAAGAAUGGUGAGACCAGGAAGGCAGGGAUCACCCCCAUCAUCAUCUUCCCAUUCCUCUUCUGGCACCCAGCUGGACUCUGCUCCUACCUGAAUACAGAGGCAGGGAACCAGGUCUGUGUGGUUCAAGGUAAUGAUCUGCGGUCCAGUCUGUGGAACAAAUAAAGGAAGGAGGUUGGAGAAGAUAAGGAGGAAGAGGAGGACGCCAAAGUCAAGGAAACCAGGAAGGCGGAAGUUCCCCCACCAGUGUUCCCUUGCUUGGGAGACGGAGUUUCACCGUGUUAGCCAGGAUGGUCUGGAUCUCCUGACCUCGUGAUCCGCCCACCUCGGCCUCCCAAAGUGCUGAGAUUACAGGCGUGAGCCGUCACGCCUGGCCCCCUUCUUACUAUUUCUUAAACACCCCUGACAUACUCCCACCCCAGGCCCUUUGUGCUGGCUAUUCUCUCUUCCCUCAGAUAUGUGGCUCCUCUCUCACCUCUUUCAGGUCUCUGCUCACCAGAGUGAGACCAUCCCUGACCUCUGCCACUCCCAACCUUUCCCACCCCUUCCACAAAUGUUCUCCUUAGUGCUAAUCACUGUCUAACUUCCUGCAUUCUUCACAUCUCCAUGUGUUUGUUGUGUCCUUCCUCACCCCCACCCUGACCCUGACACCAGUUCCAUGGGGUCGGGGUUUUUUGUCAUCUUGAUUUAUUGAUUUAUUAAUAUUUCCAGUGUCCAGGGAUUUGCCUGGUACACAGAAAUUAAUAAAUAUCUGUUGAAUAAAUGAA